CACUUCACUCUCUCUUUCCGACACACAGCAGUGCCUCGGCCCUCCUCUCUGCCCUGUUCUCGACGGGCAGGCGCAUAUACGCGGGGGAGGGAACAGGGGGCGAAGUGUUGACCACCUCAUGCGUGUAUGUGUGCACGGUAUGGUCCCUCCGCCAACUGCCGGCUUUGGCGGGCGGUGAGCAAGCUACCAGCCGGCAAAAGCAACUUCCCUCCCCGACGCAGCUCACUAAGCGUUCGCGGCAGAUGCAGCCCCAUCGGCCGAGGAAUCUCCGUCGCCCCGCGCGCGCUCCCAAAUUACAACAAUAUACACUCGAUGCGAGCUGUUGCAUCGGUGACCAAAGCGGAGGUGGCGGCAGGACUGCACUUACGACACGAGAGGAGGAGGCAGCGGCGGCGGCAUUCCGUCAGUGUGUCAAGCGCCUACAACGCCCGAAAUACCACCCGCGGCACACCACAGCCUAACUUAUCUUGGGUGCAUGAGAAGUCCAAGCAGUACUGCAACCGUUCCAUCGCCUUCUAGCGACCUCCUUUUACAUAAAACUGUGGAGAAUGCUGGGAGAAUCGCUUUAAAAUAACGGUGCUUGUGGGAAGAGAGAGACUUGCAUGAGAGAAUAUCAUAAUAACCAAUAAACUCGCCAGAAGCUGGAGAACAUGCACGUAAUUCUGUCACGUGAUUACUCCUGCAGCAGCACUGUGAGGGAAGUAGGCGUCACGAAGUCUUUCCAGAGCUUCCUGAAGCCCUACAUUUUCAACUCGAGCCAGAUUUUACAGAGUUAAAACGGAAAAGGUCUUGCUGGGAAAAUAACACUGAAGACAGAAGAAUACACCUACAUCCGGAAACAGGAGUGACGCGAGACGAACCUUCCACGCCUGUGUGAAUGACUAGGAGACGUUUCAUCGGAAACAAAUUGGAAAUAUAUCAGUUCUGAUAAUUUUUACUAUUUAGUACACUUCCCAGAAUGUAAGAUUGUUAACAAAGUGAAAACCAACAAAAAGUCACAGCCAAGCUGCAAAAAAUGUACUAUAAAAUUAAUCUCAUCAGACCUUCAGUAUAGUGAUGGUUGCUUAACGUACUCAAGAAAUGACGAAGAAUUUGGUAACCCUUUUCCACGCUAUAUCCAAGAUAUUUCUUCUUCUACUUACAACUAAUUUAAAAAAUGAAAGGUCUCGGUUCUCUGAUCUUUAAGCAGUUACAGCUAUUAUUAUUAUUAUUAUUAUUAUUAUUAUUAUAGCUCCUAUAGUUAUACAUCUGCCUUAG